rnacentral:rRNA from 1 species
GAUGAACGCUGGCGGCGUGCCUAAUACAUGCAAGUAGAACGCUGACGGAGGAGCUUGCUCUUCUGGAUGAGUUGCGAACGGGUGAGUAACGCGUAGGUAACCUGCCUGGUAGCGGGGGAUAACUAUUGGAAACGAUAGCUAAUACCGCAUGACAACAGUUAUUGCAUGAUAACUGUUUAAAAGGGGCAACUGCUCCACUACCAGAUGGACCUGCGUUGUAUUAGCUAGUUGGUGAGGUAACGGCUCACCAAGGCGACGGUACAUAGCCGACCUGAGAGGGUGAACGGGCACACUGGGACUGGGACACGGCCCAGACUCCUACGGGAGGCAGCAGUAGGGAAUCUUUGGCAAUGGAGGGAAGGCUGACCGAAGAACGCCGCGUGAGUGAAGAAGGGUUUCGGGUCGUAAAGCUCUGUUGUAAGAGAAGAACGAGUGUGAGAGUGGAAAGUUCACACUGUGACGGUAUCUUACCAGAAAGAGACGGCUAACUACGUG